GGUCUCUCGUAACUCGUUUUCCUUGAGUAGCUAAGUUGUGCAAAUAUGGUGAUCAAAUCCUGCUUUUGUAACCUUUCUUCGAAAGCAGUUCGGCUUAUCGAGGAAUAUUCAUGUCAUAUUAAACGGUCUGGAGAAAAAGGUGGAGAAUACCUGAAGGCAGAAUAGAAGUACUCGAGUAUCCUGGUUGUAGACUGAAGGAAGACCUUCCCUCAGAGAAACGUUUUGUUCAAGCCAGAGAAAAAUCGUCAAAUGAACAACAAGGAAAGCAAGAUGUAAGAUGUGAAUAUACUGCUGAAGAGAAGAGGGAAAGAAGCAGCUGACAUCCCUUGUAAGAGGUCAAGUUGCAUAGUAUGGCUGUUUACACUUCAUUUGUUCAGGAGCAAACAUCCAAAACAGCAGGAACUCUUUGUACAGGGAGUCUAUUCUUAGACCAGCAGCUAUCAAAGCAAUUUUUUUCCAAGCAACAAGAACGAAGUAAUCAAUACUGUUCAAAUAAGAGCAAUGCACAUUACAAUAAUUUUUCUUUAUAUUUACGGAUUUCGCAGAAAGUAAUUUUCAGUGCUUCAUGAAUGAAAGAGAGGAACAUUUGAAAUUGGAAGUGAUUAACCUAACGAAUAAGUAAAAACAAAUUCGAAGCAUUACUACAAAAGCAUUAUGUUUGUGGUGCUCGUUUUCUUUUUUAUAAAGUCAUAUUUGCAGAUUUUAUCUUUAGCACAGGGAGGAGUCACUGGAUGAAUCUGGGAUGCGUCAUGAGGGCACUUUUUUCGAAUUCCAUGUUAAUUAGUAGGAUCUGUAAGUGAAUAAUGGAAACUUGGUACCAAUUCUAUACUAAUCAGCAGGAUGUUUCAGUUAACAACUUUCUAUCUUAGGAAUGCAAAGGACCAGUGUAGAACACGGAGAGAAUUUAUUUGUUGCUUGUUGAGAUAGUAUACAGUAAAGGCCAUACUUGCUGA